GACAGAGGAUGCAAGCGUUAUCCGGAAUGAUUGGGCGUAAAGCGUCUGUAGGUGGCUUUUUAAGUCUGCCGUCAAAUCCCAGGGCUUAACCCUGGACAGGCGGUGGAAACUACCAAGCUGGAGUACGGUAGGGGCAGGGGGGAAUUUCCGGUGGAGCGGUGAAAUGCGUAGAGAUCGGAAAGAACACCAACGGCGAAAGCACUCUGCUGGGCCGACACUGACACUGAGAGACGAAAGCUAGGGGGAGCGAAUGGG
rnacentral:rRNA from 1 species